rnacentral:rRNA from 1 species
GAGUUUGAUCCUGGGUCACGAUGACCGCUGGAGACGGGCCUAACACAUGCAAGAUGAGCGAGAAAUCACUUUUGGAUGCUUCGGUAGACUUAGGAGAUGGAGAGCAGCGGACGGGUGACUAACGCGUGGUAAACCUGCCCUUGACAGGAGGAUAGCCGAAAGAAAUUUCGAUUAAUACUUCAUAAAGCAGAGCAUUCGCAUGGAUGAGCUGCCAAAGAAUUAUCGGCCAAGGAUGGUCCCGCGUCUGAUUACCUGGUUGGUAAGGUAGCGGCUUACCAAGGCGACGAUCAGUAGCCGGCCUGAGAGGGUGAACGGCCACCUUGGAACUGAGACACGGUCCAGACUCCUACGGGAGGCAGGACUGGGGAAUAUUGCACAAUGGGCGAAAGCCUGAUGCAUCAACGCCGCGUGAAGGAAGAAGGCUUUCGAGUCGUAAACUCCUGUCCAAAGGGAAGAAUAAUGACGGUACCUUUGAAGAAAGCCCCGGCUAACUACGUGCCAGCAGCCGCGGUAAUACGUAGGGGGCGAGCGUUAUCCGGAAUUACUGGGCGUAAAGAGUAUGUAGGUGGUUAAGUAAGCGUAGGGUUUAAGGUGACAGCCCAACUGUCGUAUGCCCCGCGAACUGUUUAACUUGAGUACAGGAGGCGAAGGCGGAAUUCCUAGUGUAGCGGUGAAAUGCGUACAUAUUAUGAGGAACACCA